rnacentral:tRNA from 1 species
GGGUCGCGGGCCGCGGCGGCCCACCAGGACUGCCAGUCCUCGCAGCCGUGGUCGCCCGCCCGUUCGGCCCGGCGGCGGCCCAC